GACAUGUUCCUCUUGCUGAAAAAUGUUGGUCUGAUCCAAUCUGGAAGUGACAACAACACCUGAACUGUGUGAUGGGAUGUAACAAAACAUACCUAGAAUUUUGGAUGCUGCAGCUCUUGAUACGGAUGUCAGCUCUGCACUAAAUAAUUCCAAAUCAUCUGCCUACACCAAAACCAGCUGCUGUGCAUGCCCUCCUCCUUGAUGAUGUCCUUCUGACGGUCCAYGUCUUGCGCAGUAAAUGAUCUGAACAAAGAAGUGUGACAUCCUCACAGGUCUUUCCUUGAUAAACACGUGUCCUGUUCCCAUCAGCUG